rnacentral:rRNA from 1 species
AACAAACGCUGGCGGCGUGCUUAACACAUGCAAGUCUAACGGGAAUGUCGGCUUCGGUCGGCUAGUACCGUGGCGCACGGGUGAGUAACACGUGGGUAAUCUGCCCUUGAGUCUGGGAUAACCUUGCGAAAGCGGGGCUAAUACCGGAUAAGAACACGCUCUGUUCGCAGAGCGCGGUAAAAGGAGGCCUCUUACUGAAAGCUAUCACUUGAGGAUGAGCUUGAGGCCUAUUAGCUAGUUGGUAGGGUAACGGCCUACCAAGGCGACGAUGGGUAGCCGGCCUGAGAGGGUGUACGGCCACACUGGCACUGAGACACGGGCCAGACUCCUACGGGAGGCAGCAGUGGGGAAUUUUGCGCAAUGGGGGAAACCCUGACGUAGCAACGCCGCGUGAGUGAUGAAGGCCUUCGGGUUGUAAAGCUCUUUUAGUGGGGAAGAAGCCCUCCAGGACGAAUAAUCCUGGGGUCUGACGGUACCCACAGAAAAAGUUCCGGCUAACUACGUGCCAGCAGCCGCAGUAAAAC